CACGUAGGGAGCAAGCGUUGUCCGGAUUUAUUGGGCGUAAAGAGCUCGUAGGCGGUCUGUCGCGUCGGCUGUGAAAACCCGAGGCUCAACCUCGGGCCUGCAGUCGAUACGGGCAAACUAGAGUACUGCAGGGGAGACUGGAAUUCCUGGUGUAGCGGUGAAAUGCGCAGAUAUCAGGAGGAACACCGGUGGCGAAGGCGGGUCUCUGGGCAGUAACUGACGCUGAGGAGCGAAAGCGUGGGGAGCGAACAGG
rnacentral:rRNA from 1 species